UCCCCCUGAAGUACAUGGUAUCAUUCAACCCUCUUGGUGAGCUGCAGGAAUGUGCUUCCCAUUGCAGUGCACCAGCUCCAUGUACUGAUUUUGGGUGUGAACUUGAUGGGGUUGGAGGAAACUCGACUCGGCCAUCAAGCUCAUCACAAUAUAACAUGAAAAGUGAAAAUUGCUGCACACAACAGCCUGCUGUCUGCACCGGGAGGCAAGGCAGCUCAAAGCCCAGGCUGUUACAACUCCUGGGCAGUUUUUGCCCAGAGCCAGCAAUUUUUUAGGUCCAAUAGGGAUGGAUUUUUUCUGAGGUCAGGUUCAACAUGCUGCAAGAUCUAAGCCUAGUAGGAGAUAUGGGUUACAAGAGAGGAGGUUUGCUCUGGCCUUAUACUAUCAAAGUCCAAAUGCUAAUAGAUUUCUAAGCACAGUAUUUCACUUGCCUUCAGUUUCAACACUUCACUCAUGACUCAGGGGUAUUUCAGUAAA